rnacentral:rRNA from 1 species
CCUACGGGAGGCUGCAGUGAGGAAUAUUGGUCAAUGGACGCAAGUCUGAACCAGCCAUGCCGCGUGCAGGAAGACGGCUCUAUGAGUUGUAAACUGCUUUUGUACGAGGGUAAACGCAGAUACGCGUAUCUGUCUGAAAGUAUCUUACGAAUAAGGAUCGGCUAACUCCGUGCCAGCAGCCGCGGUAAUACGGAGGAGUCAAGCGUUAUCCGGAUUUAUUGGGUUUAAAGGGUGCGUAGGCGGUCGGAUAAGUUAGAGGUGAAAUCCCGAGGCUCAACUUCGGAAUUGCCUCUGAUACGGUUCGGCUAGAGCGUAGUUGCGGUAGGCGGAAUGUAUGGUGUAGCGGGGAAAUGCUUAGAGAUCAUACAGAACACCGAUUGCGAAGGCAGCUUACCAAGAUACUUCUGACGUUGAGGCACGAAAGCGUGGGGAGCAAACAGGAUUAGAUACCCCGGUAGUC